rnacentral:rRNA from 1 species
AUAUCAAUAAGCGGAGGAAAAGAAACCAACAGGGAUUGCCUUAGUAACGGCGAGUGAAGCGGCAACAGCUCAAAUUUGAAAUCUGGCUCUUUCAGGGUCCGAGUUGUAAUUUGUAGAAGAUGCUUCGGGUGUGGUACCGGUCUAAGUUCCUUGGAACAGGACGUCAUAGAGGGUGAGAAUCCCGUAUGUGACUGGUCACCUUCGCUCAUGUGAAGCUCUUUCGACGAGUCGAGUUGUUUGGGAAUGCAGCUCAAAAUGGGUGGUAAAUUCCAUCUAAGGCUAAAUACUGGCCAGAGACCGAUAGCGCACAAGUAGAGUGAUCGAAAGAUGAAAAGCACUUUGAAAAGAGAGUUAAAAAGCACGUGAAAUUGUUGAAAGGGAAGCGCUUGUGGUCAGACCCUUCCGUGGUUAUUCAACCGGUAAUUUUACCGGCUCACUUUUCCGCGGUUAGGGCCAGCAUCGGUUUAAGCGGUCGGAUAAAGGCCCUAGGAAUGUGGCCCUUCGGGGUGUUAUAGCCUUGGGUGCAAUGCGACCUGCUUAGACCGAGGGAAGCGUUUUUCCAGGAUGCUGGCAUAAUGGUUGCAAGCGG